CCUAGACUGAAGUCUCUUUCUAUCUUUAGUUUUCCACAUCCCUUGAAUCUAUCCAGAAUGCUCUUAUUUAUAGACUUUCGCAUCACGACUCAAGCAAUGGCUCACACCUUCAGUGUUGAGGUUUCCUCCCUUGGUGGGUUUCUUGAUGGCUCAAGCAAUGAAUUCCUAGGCUAGAGUUGUUUUGAGGUUGCUUAAUAAUGAAGCACUCUUCCAUGGCUCAAGCUCUAACUUAUGACUUAAGGAAAUCUUUUUCAGUGAUUUUGCUCUAUGACUCAAGCCCUCAGGUGAUUCUAUAGCCGUGACAAGGAAGAUUCUUCCAAAAUGGUUGGAAAUCUUCUUCUUUUCUUCAAAAUACAGAUGUAAUUCCUUGGAUUCAUA
rnacentral:lncRNA from 1 species